AUGCUCCCGCUCGCCCGCGCGGCCCUCCGCCGCCUCGGCCCCGUGACCGCGGGGGACGGCUCCCUCCCCGCCCGCCUCCUCCUCCUCGCGCCGCUCGCCUCCAAGCCGUCGUCGUCCACGCCGCCGGAGUACCAGAUGCCGUCGGUGACGUGGGGCGUGAUCCAGGGCCGCAGGGAGCGGCUCGUGUCCCGCGUCCUCGCCCUCGACUUCCUCCGCUCCGCCGGCGUCACCGACCCCGCGGGCGAGCUGGAGGCCGUGGAGCUCCCCUCCUCCCUCGACGUGCUCCAGGAGCGCCUCGACUUCCUCCUCCGCCUCGGCCUCUCCACCGACGACCUCUCCGCCUACCCGUUCCUCCUCGCCUGCUCCCUCCGCAAGAACGUCAUCCCCGUCCUCUCCUACCUCGAGAAGCUCGGCGUCACGCGCGCGCGCCUCGCCGCCUUCGUCCGCGCCUACCCGGCCUGCCUCCACGCCUCCGUCGCCGUCGACCUCGCCCCCAUCGUCAAGGCGCUCCGCGGCCUCGACGUCGACCGCCAGGACAUCCCACGCGUCCUCGAGCGCUACCCCGACGUCCUCGGCCUCAAGCCCGACGGCACCAUCAGCACCUCCGUCGCCUACCUCGUAGGCAUCGUCGGCGUCGCGCCGCGUGACAUUGGCCCCAUGGUGACACACUAUCCCUUCUUCCUUAGCAUGCGUGUUGGCACCACGAUCAAGCCGUUCUGCGAUUACAUCACAUCUCUGGGGCUGCCGAUGCGGAUUCUCGCGAGGAUUAUUGAGAAGCGGCCGUACAUUCUUGGCUAUGAUCUUGAGGAGACAGUCAAACCAAAUGUCGAGGCAUUGCUCAGCUUCGGCAUUCGGAAGGAGGUGCUGCCACUCAUGAUUGCGCAGUACCCAUCCAUUCUUGGGUUGCCCCUGAAAGUGAAGCUAGCAGCACAGCAGUACUUCUUCAACCUGAAGCUCAAAAUCGACCCUGACGGGUUUGCCCGUGCCAUCGAGAAGUUGCCACAGCUUGUGAGCUUGCAUCAGAAUGUGAUACUGAAGCCCGUGGAGUUCCUCCGCGGCCGGGGGAUCACCGAUGAUGAUAUUGGGCGCAUGUUGAUCCGGUGCCCGCAGAUUCUUUUGCUGCGGAACGAGCUCAUGAAGAACAGCUUUUACUUCUUCAAGAGUGAGCUGAAGCGGCCAAUAAGUGAGCUUCUGGAGUACCCAGAGUAUUUUACAUACAGCUUGGAGUCAAGGAUCAAGCCUAGGUACAUGAGAGUGGCAAGCAAGGGGAUCAGAUGUAGCUUGGAUUGGUUUCUGAACUGCAGUGAUCAGAGGUUUGAGGAAAGGAUGCGAGGGGAUUUUAUUGAAGGGGAUGCACCAGGUCCUUCGUUUACAAUGGGUGGGAAGCUUCAGAUGCCUGGCAACCAGUUAGUGUCGGAUGAUGAUAAUGAGGAAAGUGACGAUGAGGUGCUAUAUAGGCGGACCGUCAUGCUCUAA
rnacentral:rRNA from 1 species